GUUGGGGUGGCAGAGCCCGGUAAAUGCAAAAGGCCUAAGCCCUUUUUACGGAGGUUCAAGUCCUCCCCUCAACC
rnacentral:tRNA from 1 species